rnacentral:rRNA from 1 species
UNUGGUCUGUAACUGACGCUGAGGCUCGAAAGCGUGGGGAGCAANCAGGAUUAGAUACCCUGGUAGUCCACGCCGUAAACGAUGAGUGCUAGGUGUUAGNCCCUUUCCGGGGCUUAGUGCCGCAGCUAACGCAUUAAGCACUCCGCCUGGGGAGUACGACCGCAAGGUUGAAACUCAAAGGAAUUGACGGGGGCCCGCACAAGCGGUGGAGCAUGUGGUUUAAUUCGAAGCAACGCGAAGAACCUUACCAGGUCUUGACAUCCCUCUGACCGCUCUAGAGAUAGAGUUUUCCUUCGGGACAGAGGUGACAGGUGGUGCAUGGUUGUCGUCAGCUCGUGUCGUGAGAUGUUGGGNNAANNNNNGCAACGAGCGCAACCCCUAUUGUUAGUUGCCAUCAUUCAGUUGGGCACUCCAGCGAGACUGCCGGUAAUAAACCGGAGGAAGGUGGGGAUGACGUCAAAUCAUCAUGCCCCUUAUGACCUGGGCUACACACGUGCUACAAUGGCUGGUACAACGAGUCGCAAGCCGGUGACGGCAAGCUAAUCUCUGAAAGCCAGUCUCAGUUCGGAUUGUAGGCUGC